rnacentral:rRNA from 1 species
GACGAACGCUGGCGGCGUGCCUAACACAUGCAAGUCGAACGGACAGAAGGCCUUCGGGCCUGAAGUUAGUGGCGAACGGGUGAGUAACGCGUGGGUAACCUGCCCUUAUAUCUGGGAUAACCUGCCGAAAGGUGAGCUAAUACCGGAUGACCUAUUGAUAUUGCCUGAUAUUGAUAGUAAAGGCGGCCUCUAUUUAUAAGCUGCCGUAUAAGGAUGGACCCGCGUCUGAUUAGCUAGUUGGUGAGGUAACGGCUCACCAAGGCGACGAUCAGUAGCCGGCCUGAGAGGGUGAACGGCCACACUGGGACUGAGACACGGCCCAGACUCCUACGGGAGGCAGCAGUGGGGAAUCUUCCGCAAUGGACGAAAGUCUGACGGAGCAACGCCGCGUGAGUGAAGAAGGUCUUCGGAUUGUAAAACUCUGUUUUUUGGGAAGAACGGUCUCUAUGUGAAUAAUGUAGAGAAUUGACGGUACCAAAGGAGGAAGCCCCGGCUAACUACGUGCCAGCAGCCGCGGUAAUACGUAGGGGGCAAGCGUUGUCCGGAAUUAUUGGGCGUAAAGAGCGCGCAGGCGGCUAUUUAAGUCUACCGUGAAAGCUUACGGCUCAACCGUAACAGGCCGGUGGAUACUGGAUGGCUUGAGGGCAGGAGAGGAAAGUGGAAUUCCCAGUGUAGCGGUGAAAUGCGUAGAGAUUGGGAGGAACACCAGUGGCGAAGGCGACUUUCUGGACUGUUACUGACGCUGAGGCGCGAAAGCUGGGGGAGUGAACGGGAUUAGAUACCCCGGUAAUCCCAGCCGUAAACGAUGGGUACUAGGUGUAGGAGGUAUCGACCCCUUCUGUGCCGGAGUUAACGCAAUAAGUACCCCGCCUGGGGAGUACGGUCGCAAGACU